UACAGAGGGUGCAAGCGUUGUUCGGAAUUAUUGGGCGUAAAGCGCGUGUAGGCGGCUUGGCAAGUCGGGUGUGAAAUCCCUCAGCUUAACUGAGGAAGUGCGCCCGAAACUGCCGAGCUUGAGUACCGGAGAGGGUGGCGGAAUUCCCCAAGUAGAGGUGAAAUUCGUAGAUAUGGGGAGGAACACCGGUGGCGAAGGCGGCCACCUGGACGGAUACUGACGCUGAGACGCGAAAGCGUGGGGAGCAAACAGG
rnacentral:rRNA from 2 species